rnacentral:rRNA from 1 species
CCUACGGGAGGCAGCAGUGAGGAAUAUUGGUCAAUGGACGAGAGUCUGAACCAGCCAAGUAGCGUGAAGGAUGACUGCCCUAUGGGUUGUAAACUUCUUUUAUAUGGGAAUAAAACGUUCCACGUGUGGGAUUUUGUAUGUACCAUAUGAAUAAGGAUCGGCUAACUCCGUGCCAGCAGCCGCGGUAAUACGGAGGAUCCGAGCGUUAUCCGGCUUUAUUGGGUUUAAAGGGAGCGUAGGUGGAUUGUUAAGUCAGUUGUGAAAGUUUGCGGCUCAACCGUAAAAUUGCAGUUGAAACUGGCAGUCUUGAGUACAGUAGAGGUGGGCGGAAUUCGUGGUGUAGCGGUGAAAUGCUUAGAUAUCACGAAGAACUCCGAUUGCGAAGGCAGUUCACUGGACUGCAACUGACACUGAGGCUCGAAAGUGUGGGUAUCAAACAGGAUUAGAUACCCCGGUAGUC